AACAAAAUACAUACACAUACAUAAUACCAGUUCUCGUCCGAUCACUGAAGUCAAGUAGCGUUGAGCACGGUUAGUACUUGGAUGGGUGACCACUUGGGAACACCGUGUAACGUUGGCC
rnacentral:rRNA from 1 species